rnacentral:rRNA from 1 species
UACGCAGGGUCCGAGCGUUGUCCGGAAUUACUGGGCGUAAAGAGCUCGUAGGUGGUUUGUCGCGUUGUUCGUGAAAACUCACAGCUUAACUGUGGGCGUGCGGGCGAUACGGGCAGACUGGAGUACUGCAGGGGAGACUGGAAUUCCUGGUGUAGCGGUGGAAUGCGCAGAUAUCAGGAAGAACACCCGUGGCGAAGGCGGCUCUCUGGAACGCAACUGACGCUGAGACGCGAAAGCGUGGGGAGCAAACAGG